rnacentral:rRNA from 1 species
UACGUAGGCAGCAAGCGUUGUUCGGAUUUACUGGGCGGAAAGAGUGCGUAGGCGGUCCUGUAAGUUUGGUGUGAAAUCUCCCGGCUCAACUGGGAGGGUGCGCCGAAGACUGCAGGGCUUGAGUAUGGGAGAGGUAAGCGGAAUUCCUGGUGUAGCGGUGAAAUGCGUAGAUAUCAGGAGGAACACCUGUGGUGUAGACAGCUUACUGGACCAUAACUGACGCUGAGGCACGAAAGCGUGGGUAGCAAACAGG